rnacentral:rRNA from 1 species
UACAGAGGGUGCAAGCGUUAAUCGGAAUUACUGGGCGUAAAGCGCAUGUAGGUCGAUAUUUAAGUCGGAUGUGAAAGCCCCGGGCUCAACCUGGGAAUCGCAUUCGAUACUGAAUGUCUAGAGUAUGAUAGAGGGAAGUGGAAUUUCCGGUGUAGCGGUGAAAUGCGUAGAUAUCGGAAAGAACAUCAGUGGCGAAGGCGGCUUCCUGGAUCAAUACUGACACUAAAGUGCGAAAGCGUGGGGAGCAAACAGG